AACAAGGGUAAUUAAACAAAUUAACAUAUCACAUAAUAUCCCUUUAUUAUGACCGACCAAUAAAUAAGCUUAGAUAGGAUACACUAGCAAAGGAUUUACUCAUCUCUCCCCUCCUAGUUCUAUUCCUCGAUAUCCGCCAGAGACCAUAUCCCUAAGCUUUGAUACCAACUGUGACGCCCCCAAAAUAGGUAUACAACACCCAUUCUGAGUCGCCAAAUACAUGGUACAGAAAACAAACUACAACUUCAAUAAUACAAUUGUCGUGCAAAAUACGACAACACAUACUGUGAGUUUAAAUACAAAUAUUGUCUUCUAGACAAUAUCCACACUCAAAUAAGUCCUCAUUACAAUUAUUCAAACACUAUUUUACAGAAAUAGUGAGGACUGCUAAAACAUCUUUCUAGAACCAUCACUCCAUACCCCGACUAGAUCCUGCUAUGUUCUCACCUCCUGAGAAGAAAAAUGGAACAAAAAGGAAAAGGGUGAGCUCAACUAGCCCAGUAAAGAAUAUUAUGACUAAGAUAAUAUACAACAAAUUAUCAUUAGUCUUCAACAGGGAAAAAUCUGAUAAAAUAUAAUAGACAACAAGUUUUAGAUCAACAACUGCAGCGGAAACAACAAUCCAUUAGAAGAGUCAAGUAGAGAAUGAAUUCUACUAUCUUCUAAGAUUUAAAAGUUCAUCAUCAAUAUUUUAUCCCUGUAACAACAAUCAAUAUACAUCUUUAAUCAAAUAUUCAUAUUUACACUACAGGCCAAAGAUAUUCAUCUGUAUCACCAGUUGGUCAUGUUCAUCUCAACACUUGUUCAUCUUUGCACUACGGGCCAAAGAUAUUCAUUAGUUAAUCAUUCAUCUUUGCACUACAGGCCAAAGAUAUUCAGUAAUAUCAUCAUUUAAGACUGAGGAUGAUGAAAAUAAUUUAAAAAAAACGAAUCCAGUGAGACAGAAGGACGAAUAUUAGGGAUUCGUAUUACAGUUUAUCCAAGAUCAAUAAUACUCCAUAAUAACCAAUUUUGAAGUAGAAUUCAAAAAUAAAGAUCAAAAUAUGGAUACAAUCAAAGAUUGUAACCAUAAUAGACAUAUUGGACAAAAAGAAAAAAUUUUAUUUUUCGGUGAAUAGUACCGUAUUUGUGAAUAGUGUCGUAUACGUGAAUAGUAAUCCCGACAAAAAAGUUUCAAAUUUGAUUAAAAAGUUCAAACCAAUAUUUCAGCAUAAUGAUAUUGAAGAAAAUAAUAUCAUUUAAGAAGAAGAUAACAUUCCUUACCUCAAAAUAACGGUACUUCUGAUCGGAAUAUCGGAUAAAAAGUCGAAGGAAACUUGUACCGAACAACAACUCUCAAAGUAUCUAAAUACUCACAAAAAUACGUUCGACAAUAUAGAGAGAAAGAAAAUUUGUUUCUGGUGAGAUUUUCAAUUCUAACCUAAGCGUCUAUUUAUAGAAAAAUACUAGAACGUCAUAGGAGACUAAAAUAAUAAAAUAAUAAUAUUUCUUUUUAAAUCAUCUACGCCACCCACCAUUUUGAGUUAAGCAUGCCUUCUUGGACAAAAAUCAACAGCCCAUGUGUAUUCAACACCAACCAAAAAGUGGAUCCCACCCAUAAUUUAAUAAAAAUUAUUUUAUUUUUCGAAACUUCAGUAAUUCAUAGAAAAUAGCCCGUUUAUCAGAAAAAUACGAAUUUUAUGUCCAUUCCACACGAAAUCGAAUUCUCUACAACUUUGUAGAUUUGAGUUUUUCCAAAUUCCAAACAUAAAAUAUCCAAAACCCACAAACAGGUGAUUUUUAAUACCUCUACUCUGACAAAAUACUGAUAAAAUACCUCAUCAUUAAUUCAUUCAUUUAUAACCACAUAAAUAAAUAAAUCAAUCAUUUAUAUCCACAUCAAAUAAAUAUUUUCUUAUUAUAUAAAUUAAUAAUUAAUUAUUCAUAAAUAAUAUUACAGAAUCACAAUUAUGACAACCAGACAGUUUCCAGGAAAGAGGGGGCUUUCCAAUAAGGAUUUCUCCUUACUAGCGCGCAAUUAGGUGACCAAACCUCUCCUUGACAGAACUUUCUAGACAUUGCCAAUAAUGUUAUCUAAUAAUAUUAUUCAAAUAAUAUGAAUUAUUAAUCUGAUAAUGGAAAAUACUGUGCAUUGACAAUUAUUGAAAUAACAAUAAUAUAAACUAUCAACGCAGCAAUUAUUGAAUCAAUAAAAUAAAAUAUUGAACAGUAACUACUGUAACAAUUAUUGAGUUGUGCCUUCUUACGUACAAAUCAAUAAUUCAACAAUACUGUGCAAUACCGUGUGCUACUGUGCAACCACGCAUAUUACUAUAUUUUAACCACCAGGUAUUCCAACAGUGUUAACGGUAACAACUACGUUGUUAUUUAUAAAACUCAUACUUUGUCGUUUUCUUUCAUCCAACCGUUUUCCGUUAUGGAGCCCACAAAUGGCUGCGCCGUCAUACGAAUAUUCUCCGACAAAAAGAAUAUUCCACGACCAAACGAAUAUUCCCCGACAAAAAUGAUUAUUUUAUAACCACUUGCUUAUUUUGCAAAAUUUGCACAUUUCACCCAUAACCAAAGCAUUAUAUCAAAUUAACACCUUAUUAAUUUAGAAUAAUGAAUAGAGGAAAAUUUCAAUUUUAUUUAUAAUAAGUUGAGUCUUACAAAAAUCCUUGAAUAACAAUAAAAUCCACAAAUUUAGUUUGGAAAUUGGUGACUGCCUUACCCAUCUGUUUGAAUGGACCGUCUAGUAAGCAUGUACACUCCACUGAACACAUUAUGAUGAUUAGGUGUGUUAGGUACAAUCCCAUACAAUUGCAGUUCUUAUGAGUUAUGAUCUAGUAGUAGGCUUUGACCAAGUCUAAAUCUAGUCUAGUCACACUAAGAACCUUGCAGCAAACAAAUUUCUGUCUCACGGAAUAAAAGGCAUGUGAAGGCACCAAGAAUGACUUCUAGAGCGAAGAAAUUGUUCAAUCAAAAGAAAAACAAAGUGUGAACUAGAAAUCCUCAUUUGGUCUGGAAAGGAGCCUUUUUUUUAAAUAGACAAUUAAUAGACAUCAGGGAGUAACAUGAACCUGCUUGUUUGCAAAAAUAAGAACAACACCACCUCUUAACUCUUCCUCCUGACAAUAAAGCAUAAAGAUAUUUAAUUCAAAUUCAGAACACACAUUUCAGGUUAAGUUCAAGUAUAUUUAAAGAUAAAAUCUUCCAGAUUAACUGGUUCUGGUCAAAUACCCAAACAAAUUAACUAUAACUUUAGAUAGUGGUACAACAGAAGUUAACGACACAGAAACCAAUACUCUUUCCUUCUUUUUAUUUUGACAAGUUUAUAUUCAAAAGGGCACCAAGAGGGUGCUACCCAUAUUCAAACGAAGUCGCAAUAAAACAGGGUAAAACCUGCGCCACCGAAGCACAAAACCUACAUCAUGUCCUGUGGCUAAAUCCGACAAGUCAACAAAUGCUUUACUCAAACCAAGCAACACCUUAUUCUGCCAAAAAGAACAACUUUUUGAUAUGCACAAUAAACUGGUCUAUUUUAUCUAAAUAUCUAUAAUCUAGAAAUAUCACUAAAAGAUCUAGAUUAUGCUAUCAAAAUUCUUUAGAAAAAUUACUUACCCUUUGUACAGCGGUUUUGGCACGGAGCAAGUUCUCUGGUUUAACUCAUACAGGGGGAGGUAAGCACAAGCUUUAUGCCAUUGAAAAACCUACACUAAAAUCUCAAGAGCUCAAUAAUAUGAAACAGAUUUAAAGCUUUCGAGUUUGAUCUAAACCAAUAGAUGAAAAACCACUAUACAAAUCAUACCCAAAGCGAGACGAAUUUAAAUCUGACGAAGGGGAUAUUCAAAACCACUAUGCAAAUCUAACCCAUAGCCAGACGGCGAGAGAGCUAGGUUAGGGAUACUGAGGAAGAUGAGUUUGGGGAGAAGAGAAUGUGUUUUAUUUUGCUGGGAGAGUUCUUUUAGGUGGGUAUCGGCAUAAAAGUCUCUCUAGUUUCAUUUAUCA
rnacentral:lncRNA from 1 species